CGCAUCCACCCUUCCCUAUCGCACCAAAACGGAGCUCCCCUCCAAACCGAGAAGGGACGAAGCAAACGAGGAGCGGACGGACCACCAGGGGACCCCCCCCGCCCGCCUCCGCCCUCGCGCGAUCUGAUCCGCCCGCCGGCGGUCCCGCCCGGCCGAUCGGGGCAAUGCUGCGGGGAUCCAGCCUCCGCUGCUGAUCGCGGUGAGGAUUUGAUUUGUACGAACAUUGGAUGAAGUUUGUACUGAUCUAUGGAAGUGGAUACUCUGCAAGAUGCUCAGGAGACUAAGAAUGGAGAGAAUGACUUUGAAGAGAAUGUCAGUUCUGAUCCCGUGGUUUACCAGCUAGUUCGGGUUGAAGGUGAUGGAACGCUUGUUCCUCCUACAGAGGACGAAGUCCUGCAGAUUGAACAGUUUCUUGAUGACAAGGUUGAUCUGCCUUCUAUUGAUGAUGUAGGAAAUGUGGAGGAUUUUUUUACUAAUGACUGCAUGCUUCUGAAGGAGCCUGACUUUGAAGAUGGGUAUUCCGAAUUAGAGACUAAUGGUGAAAUACAUACACAUCAGUUUGAUGCUGACCUAGAGGUAGACAGGUUAAAACCGUCUGAUGACUCGCUUGAUCUUCCCUCAGAGUGUACAGUUGUUCAUGAUCACGAACCAGAUAAACUGAACACAGAACAAGAGGCUAACAACAUUGUUCACCAGGAUAAUGCUUCCACCGAGACUCCAAAAUCAACAGUAUUAAAUGACUCUUGCAGUGCUGAAAAAGAAAAGGCCGAUGCCUGUUCAAGAUCUGUAAAUAACUCAUCUACAGGACCAUCUGUCUCUGGAGUUACUAGUUCAGUUCCCGACUUCUCCAUUUUAAGAGGAGAGGUCUGUUUGGAUGAUCUUACAAUUAGAGAACUUCAGGAAGCAUUUAGAGCCACAUUUGGGCGUGAAACUACUGUCAAGGACAAGUUAUGGCUCAAAAGACGGAUUACAAUGGGAUUGACCAAUUCCUGUGAUGUUCAAAGUUCAGGUUGUGUAGUUAAAGAUUAUAAGAUGGUUUGCAAGGAUGCCAAACACGAGCUACCUACGGUUGAAGGAAUACCUAAGGUUGAGGUUGAAGCUACUUCUUUGAUUAGGUAUCAAGUAUUGGGUCCUGGAAAUGAGAAAGAUACACCAUCUUGCUCUUACUAUCGUAGUGAGGACCAACAGCGAUCCUCCAAUAGGCUAAAAGGAGUAUCAACAGACAACGAUGAACCAGAAGGAACUUUACUGGAUGAACAAGGUGCUGCUAAGAGACUCCGAAAACCAACAAAAAGAUACAUUGAGGAGCUCUCAGAUACUGAGACACUUGACUCCACUGGGAAGCUUUCUUCACCAGGAAAAAGGGCUGCACAUGGUGAGGUGUUACUCAGACAAAGGGUUACUCCUUUACAAGAAGUUGAUUCAUUGCGUAUAACUUAUCCUACCCGGAAGGAUACUUUUGGAGGAUUUAGUGUACAUGUUCCUUAUGCGUCAAGGAUGAGAAGAGGGCGUCCUCGGAGAAACUUCAUUUCAUUUUUGGAUGAUGAUCCUCCGGUGGAAUGUCCCGAGGUUCAAAUGGCAGUUGAGACGACGUUGGGAAAAGAUGGUGAACAUGUGAAUCAUGUAAACAGUGCCGUGGAAGUUCCACUAAUGAAAAAUGCUGAGAAGAAAGGAGCGCAUAUAGAAACAACUGAGAAGAAAGGAGAGCAUAUAGAGAUGGCUGAUAACAAGGAGACUCAUUCCAUAGAAGCAGACGAUAUUUGCAGAACUGAUGCCAAGACGAAAACAAAGCGGAGUUUGAAGCGGAAGCAUCAUCGGGCGUGGACAUUGUCCGAGGUUCUGAAGCUGGUCGAUGGUGUGGCUCAGUUCGGGCCUGGCAAGUGGUCUGAGAUUAGAAGACUAUCCUUCGCCUCAUAUUCUUAUCGCACCUCAGUGGAUCUCAAGGAUAAGUGGCGCAAUCUGAUCAGAGCUAGCCAGACACAGCUUUCGCCGGAAAACGACGUAAUUAACUCUUCCCUUUUCAACUUACGGAGGAUCAGCCUUUCUUUCUUAUCAGCCCAGUUAUUCCCAUCCUGUUCUCUUAGCUCCUGGAUUGCUCACUUUUCCCACUCUUCAAUGGUGCUGAGCAGGGUGUUUGUCCGCGGAAAAGCAACCCUUCGAUCAUACCAAUACCACCGUCCAUUCUGCUACGAGUGAAAGAGCUAGUUGAGCUCCAGCCGCAAGCCGGCAACCUGGCAGCGGCAAUCAAGUUCUCAGGGCAGAGCAGCAAGGUGGCACAUGGGAGAGACUGCCAAAUCUUUGAGAUGUCAAGAUACUCUUCCGAGAUAAAUGUGAUUGGAAAUGAUCCUAUGGAGCACUACAAAAAUAUCAUCUCUGAGUUGUUACUCGGAAGAGAAGGCUCAUUCUCUACCGGAGUUACAAAACAUACCGAACUUGUUGUAGCCCAAUAUAACCGCAAAGUGGGUGAAGAUUCUCUUCCAUUAUUCAUGGAAGAAAUUAGGGGCCUUACAAAAUGUGACAUGGAGAGAUUAAAUCAUGCUCUCCGUGAGGUUUUUACAAUCCUCAAUGAUGACGUUGAUGAGAUUAUUGGUUACAUUUUAGCACUCUCUGAAUUUAGGUCUGAGAAGUUGCCAUCAAACCAUGAAAGCGGAUCGUGUGAGGAUGGCAUCAUCCCACCGAGUGCUAAAAAACAGAAAACUGUGACGGUUUCUACCAUGGAUGCUUAUGAAGAAUUACAUGGUUAUAUUGAUUCAGAUAUCUUUGCACAGCUCACAAGAGAUAUUGGGCUCAUAGAAGAAAGUGGAGAAACACGUCAAGAGGCUGUGAAGAAGUUCUCGAAUGGGUUGCAGCUAAAGCUUGAUAAAAUGGUGCAAGGUGUUUAUGGUUUACUGGACACAGUGGCAUCCAAGUGCAGAUCUAUGACCACUGCUGAGAAGCUUGAACUCAGUAAGCGCAUCCACAAACUCCCACAAGAGGCACUUGAUCACAUGGUGGAGGUAGUUAAAAUGAGGAGACCUGAAAUCUCGGGUUCUAAGAAAGUAUCAUUCAACUUAGGAAGACUGGAUGACACAACUUUGUGGAGACUGUACUUCUAUGUGGAAACUGCGCUAAAAGCAAAACAAGAUCGGUCGAUCACCCCUCCCCAGAUGUUGCAUGCACAGUAACUGCCAGUCCGUCUAAAAUAUCAUCCAAAUUUUCACUACGGUUACUUUUUGUAUAAUUCAGUGUAGGUGGUGGCAGUGCUUGCAGAAAUACAGUAGCUUCAGCUUGUUGCCAAUGUAACAUCUCUGUUUAUCUGUAUGAAGAUAGUCCUAGAAGCAGAGUAGCAUCAAAAGCGACAUGAUACCGGACCGCUAUCUAGAGUUGUAGAAACUAGUGCACUAACCACUAGGGCACUGUUGACAAUUUUGUUGUUGCAUUGCAUACUGCAAAUCAAUCCUUGUCAGCUCCUGCAGAUAUUCCACUCCACUGUUUAGGGACUCCGCCUCAUCAUAUUUUCCAUAUUGCCUCUUGUUCAAUGUUUCUGCAAAAGUUUCAGCAUUUUUUUUAUUUUUUUUGAAAGAUCCAGCUAGACGCUGGCAUAUAUUAAAGCAUAGCAGGGAGAGGUGCGGUUACAAAAAACAAGGGUGGUGUUGAUCGGGUCAACUUCGCGACACUGGUGGCAAUUCCUUGUGUUUGGUCGUUCUCUGCCAGAUCAUUUGGAAGUGCCAGGCAUAAAGAAUUGAUGGAGAAAGCCUCCUAGAUUGUGUGAGUGGCUAGUGGUCGAGUGCUGCAUUGCGUCAAUCAAAUCUCGUUCGGUUUGUGUUUAAAUGGUACAUUAAAGUUAUCACUGUGUUGUUCCUUUAUUUCCCUUUUUCUUUUCUUUUAGAAAGGCAUGUGACAUGUGCUUUGCUGUAAGAUAAUUGAAUAUAUUUAGGAGAGUAACAGAACAUCUUAAUGGUUUU